rnacentral:rRNA from 1 species
UGCCUAACACAUGCAAGUCGAACGAAGGCUCCCUUCGGGGGAUGGUCCUUAGUGGCGCACGGGUGAGUAACGCGUGGGAAGUCUGUCCAGGUGUGGGGAAUAGCUACGGGAAACUGUAGCUAAUACCGCAUACGCCCUACGGGGGAAAGGCUUCGGCCGCAUUUAGAUGAGCCCCGCGUAAGAUUAGCUUGUUGGUGGGGUAAUGGCCUACCAAGGCUACGAUCUUUAACUGGUCUGAGAGGACGAUCAGUCACACUAGAACUGAGACACGGUCCAGACUCC